rnacentral:misc_RNA from 1 species
CUGGUAAAAAGGUGAAAACCUUUUUUACCCCCAAACUCUGUGCAAUGGAGCACACGGCUUAUGCAUCGAUGAAGCCCGCGGCAAAAAGCGAUAUGUAAUGAGAUUCGUUAGCCUCGCGAUUCAUCAAAUUGGUGAACACAUACUGGACCUCUUCGGAGGUACUUGCGUUAGAGUGCUAGUUUUCUAUCAAUUGAUCCUGGUAAAAGGUGUUUGAAUCGUUAGGUUCUUACGCCCUAGCCGGUGGAGCCGGAUUCUCUGAGAAUUCGGAUUGUUCCUGGUCUUUGACUGGGUCAAUCACUUUUAUUAAACUGGCCUCUAAUGUGAGAGGGUACCCCCUGGAUUUAAGCAUAU